CCUCUCUUUCUCACUUCAUGUUUUAGUUACCUUGUACUGACCUCGCUUUUUAGACCUCAUAUAUGCAGCAUGCAUCAUGCCAUGAACAUAAUUCGCUUAAUUCAUUUUAAUUUACAAAAGGAUAGGAUGUACUACAAAAAUUUAUUGGAUGUGCCAUGGCAGUGAGCGACUGCAAGUUUAACAAACAAAAGAGACAUUACAGUGAUUUUCAUGCCACAGCUUGUAAAUUGCAUAUCGGCUGUUCCAUGUAAAUUGCAAAAAUGGCUGUGAAGGUCACAAAUGUGUUGCAAGGUGUUAUUGGUGGAGCCCGCCUAGCUCUCAGCACUUUAACAAUUGAGCAUGCGCGAACCUGUAUGAAUUGGCCAGAUGGCGUCGCAAAUAUUUGUCUAGCAGUCUGGCGGAUCUAGUUCUUGAGGUCAGUCAUGGUUUUGGAAAGAUUGUUUAAACAAAUGAGUUGCGCCCGAAAAAAUCAGGUGACCCAGUCAGGUGUGCUUCUGGUAUAAUAUCAUUGGCGCCUACUAAAACCAGAUAUUUGCCAACUGGGUAGAUGUUUGACUAUGGGCAUGGGGGUACCUGGUUUGAAAGUGGCCUCAUAUUCAGGAAAAUACUUAUUUCACUAGAAGAGUUACGCGAAAUGAAGUUGUGGCAUGCGUAACAAGCUUUUAUUUAAGCACAUAUGUAUAUCUUUUAGUUUGCUCAUAAUCUUCCAAAAUUCAAAAAAUUGAAGCACUAAAUUUUUGAAGCACCUGUCCAGCUAGCGCAAUUAAACAACAAGUUUUCCAGGGCGCGACUAGCAUCCGCCACAACCAACAAUCUCAACAGGUCUCUCUGUACCCAUAAUUCCAAAAAUUUGACUAAUUUGAAUUGACACCUAAUAGAAUCCCGGGUACCACUAGAAAACACUUAUUGGGGUCGCUUAAACAGAAAAUAGAAUAUUUACAAAUGAAACAAAUUUAUUUAACAAGAAUGAAUCAAAUAAGCUGAAAAAAAAUAGGCACUCAGUGCCGGAAUACACUUACACGCCUUAAGCUAUCGAUUGAAACAAUUCAUUAAGAAUAUCGUAAUUACCUUAAAGCAGGCAUGUCAAAUACGCGGGUCGCAACGAUGCAAAUUAUAAAAUUUAAUUGUACCGUGUUUCCUAUUUUGGUUGAGACUGUAGUGCUUUUAAAGGUUGAGACUUGCGGUUUUGGCGACCCUCUGCCACUUUUUGGUGAAACGUAUAAUACCCCAAACAGAACCAAUCUAGCUACGUUUUGUCUGAGAUACAGGGUGAAAGUGAAAACGAAGAGUUUGACUUUUUGGAAUAGUAUACCUUAUUACCGAUGUAAGAUAGAAAAAAGAUAAAAAUUGGCUAUUUUAGAUAUUAUUACGUAGAAUUCAGAGGCGUAGUAAAUAAACUUUUGGAUCGCCGUUUCUGCGAUUUGAUUUAAAGUUGGUAUUUUUUAAAACGCCCUGUAUAUUUUAACGCGGUAGAAACAUGUCAUUUUGAAAAAUAUGAUAUAUAAUAUAAAAAAAUAUAGGAUGAUUCAUCAAUGUAACCACGAAAAAGAAAUGCAAAAAAUUGACGUUAAAUACAGGGUGUUGCAUUUAAGAAAUAUCAAAUUUGGGUUCAAUCUCACAAACGGUGAUUCAAUUUUUUUUACUGUGCUACUGGAUUUUAGGUAGUUUUUACCUUUUUUUUCUAUCGUACAUCGGUAGUAAGAUAUGAUUGACAACAUCCCAAAAAGUCAACCUUUUCGUUUUUACCCUGUAUCUAAUAAGAAACAAACGCACUUAGUUGGAUUGAUUCUGUUUGUUUAAGUUGUUAAGUUUAACAAAAAACAUGGCACAGGGUCCCGAAAACCGUACGUUUUUUAUCUUUAAAAACAGCUGAGAUACACUACUGCAGUCUCAAAAAAAAAAAAAUAGGACACAGGGUAUAUUUUCAUGAUUUUAUGAUUCUUUGUAUUCGUUUUAUUGUAUUAUUUUGCAUACCUACUUUUUAUGUUAAUAAUAAAAAAUCAAAAUUUUGGCCGCAGCUGUAUGUGGAACCCUUAAAAUGGCCCUUGGCGAUGAAUGAGUUUGACAUGCCUGCCUUAAAGUGUUAAUAAUUCAAAUCCUGUUAAAUCUGCGAUUUUCAACAAACAACACACCAAAAAAAACCAACUGAUGUUGCUUCUGGAACUUCACUUCUUUGACUGCACUUGACUCUCAAUUUAUACGACACUGAUGUAGACUUGGCUCUUUGAUGACGAAAAAACUCGCUUUAACGGGUACUGAGAAAA